GAAAUAUGAUAAAUUCAAGAAUAAGCUUCUAACUUAAUUCUUAGGCGAUGAAAUUUCGUUUAUAUUUCU
rnacentral:tRNA from 1 species